rnacentral:lncRNA from 14 species
UGGAGCGGAUGAGGGAUGCGCUGGAGGACGGGAACGGUGAGGCCAGGAUGGCGGCGGCGCCGGUGGGGGCGAGGCCGCUGCGGUGCCUGGAGGUGAGGCUGGAAGCGCGGGAAUGGACCGUGCGCUACCGGGAUGCUACUGGGAGCACUGGUCUGUGCCAGGCCGUGGAUGGUGCUGCCGUGUUCCUGCUGCGCUCCCGGGAUCUCUUCACCCUCCCGUUCCCAUUGGAUCGCCCGGUGGCUCCGGCGCUCUUCAUCCAAGCGGCAUUCCGAGGCUGGAAGCUGCGCGUGGUGCCCGCGGCAUUCCCGCUAUCCCGACGCCCUCCCCUCGCCCCUCACCUCCAAUGGGAAACCCAAACCGGGCUGGAAACCCAGCGGCUGAUGCGGGAUCUGGGAAUCAAACGGGAAGUGCUUCCCGACGGUCGGGAACGCUGGUAUGGAUGCGGGAAGGACACGACCCGCUGCUUCGGGACCAUCCAUGCGGGAACACCCCAAUACAUCCUGAGCGGGCGCUGGACCCCCCCCUGCUGCCUGCGGGCGCUGCGGGAGACCGCUCGGCACGUGGUGUCCAUACUGGAAUCAUCCGGAAUCCGGUACUGGUUGGAAGGGGGAUCCUUACUGGGAGCUGUGCGCACGGGGGACAUCAUCCCAUGGGAUUACGAUGUGGAUCUGGGCAUCUACAAGGAGGACAUCGGGAAGUGCCGCUGGUUGGCGGCGGCCGCGGCCGGGAACGCGGUGGAGGAUCCCGAAGGAUUCCUAUGGGAAAAGGCAUCCGAGGGGGAAUUCUACCGGGUGCAUUACAGCCGGAGCAACCGGCUCCAUGUGGAUCUGUGGCCCUUCUAUUCCAGAGGGGGGGUGAUGACCAAGGACACGUGGUUGGGACACCGGCAGGAUGUGGAAUUCCCGGAGCGGUUCCUGCAGCCUCGGGAGCCCUUGGAAUUCGUGGGAAUGAUGAUGAUGGCACCAAACAGAGCUCGGGAAUUCCUGGAGUUCAAGUUCGGGGCUGGAGCCAUCGAGAAUCCCGAGUAUCCCAAUCCCAGUGUCAAGAGGAUGGGGAAGGAGUGAGGGGGGAGAUGGGGAAUUCCGGGAUACAAAUGGGUUGGGGAAUCACAGGAGGAUACAAAGAGGAUGGGAUGAGGAAUCCCAGGAUACAAAUGGGAUUGGGAAUUCUGGGAUACAAAUGGGUUGGGAUUGGGAAUCCCAGGAC